rfam:Myotis lucifugus cont2.42411, whole genome shotgun sequence.
GGUGGUUCUCCGAUGACACAUCCCAGAAUUGGGCUCCCUCCUCUCUGGUUCCGGGUGUGUCACCCGAGAACUGCA